rnacentral:rRNA from 1 species
UACAGAGGUCCCAAGCGUUGUUCGGAUUCAUUGGGCGUAAAGGGUGCGUAGGUGGCAUGGUAAGUCGGGUGUGAAAUCCCGGGGCUCAACCCCGGAACUGCACUCGAUACUGCCGUGCUCGAGUACUGGAGAGGAUGGCGGAAUUCCCCAAGUAGAGGUGAAAUUCGUAGAUAUGGGGAGGAACACCGGUGGCGAAGGCGGCCAUCUGGACGGAUACUGACGCUGAGACGCGAAAGCGUGGGGAGCAAACAGG